CAUAUAAAUGUAUUAAAGGGCUCAUAUUUCUCUCAACUCACUUUUAUUAGUCUUUGGUUCAUUUAUUUGUGUAUUUGGACCCUAAUGGUUCAUACAGUUUGAAUUUGAACCCUCCAGGUGCUGCAAAACUAUAUUUGUAUUC